AUGCAGUCGAACGCGAACGCACCUUCGGGUGUUAGUAGAGUGGCGGACGGGUGAGUAACACUUGGGAAUCUGCCUAGUAGUGGGGGAUAACUCGGGGAAACUCGAGCUAAUACCGCAUACGCCCUACGGGGGAAAGAUUUAUCGCUAUUAGAUGAGCCCAAGUCAGAUUAGCUAGUUGGUAGGGUAAAGGCCUACCAAGGCGACGAUCUGUAGCUGGUCUGAGAGGACGAACAGCCACACUGGGACUGAGACACGGCCCAGACUCCUACGGGAGGCAGCAGUGGGGAAUAUUGGACAAUGGGCGAAAGCCUGAUCCAGCAAUGCCGCGUGUGUGAAGAAGGCCUGCGGGUUGUAAAGCACUUUCAGUUGGGAAGAUGAUGACGUUACCAACAGAAGAAGCACCGGCUAACUCCGUGCCAGCAGCCGCGGUAAUACG
rnacentral:rRNA from 1 species